GACGAACGCUGGCGGCGUGCCUAAUACAUGCAAGUAGAACGCUGAAGGAGGAGCUUGCUUCUCCGGAUGAGUUGCGAACGGGUGAGUAACGCGUAGGUAACCUGCCUGGUAGCGGGGGAUAACUAUUGGAAACGAUAGCUAAUACCGCAUAAGAGUAGAUGUUGCAUGACAUUUGCUUAAAAGGUGCAAUUGCAUCACUACCAGAUGGACCUGCGUUGUAUUAGCUAGUUGGUGAGGUAACGGCUCACCAAGGCGACGAUACAUAGCCGACCUGAGAGGGUGAUCGGCCACACUGGGACUGAGACACGGCCCAGACUCCUACGGGAGGCAGCAGUAGGGAAUCUUCGGCAAUGGACGGAAGUCUGACCGAGCAACGCCGCGCGAGUGAAGAAGGUUUUCGGAUCGUAAAGCUCUGUUGUAAGAGAAGAACGAGUGUGAGAGUGGAAAGUUCACACUGUGACGGUAGCUUACCAGAAAGGGACGGCUAACUACGUG
rnacentral:rRNA from 1 species